UAGUCCCGUGUCUGGAAUUGGUUCCUUGC
rnacentral:piRNA from 1 species